CUAACAUGUAUGCAAGUCUGUGGGUGUUAAACCUGUACAGGCAAAAGGAAGCUAAUUCAUGGGAUCCUUUUCUGAGGUGCACCAUAGACCAACCUUGAUCAUUUUGAGAAGGGUUUGAGUGUUAGCAUACCUGUUAUGAACUAUGCCUGAGCAAAGCAAAGCCAGAAGAAACUCUGGUGGAGGCUCACAGUCCUAAAGAUUAACUCCUAGUACUAAGGGUGGCUAAGGGUGAAAACCUAAAGCAUGU
rnacentral:ncRNA from 1 species